ACCCUCAGCAAUGGACGUUCCCAGGCCAGGAGUCAAAAUGGAGCUGUAGCUGCUGGCCUACAAGACAGCCACAGUAACGGCGGAUUCCCCACCCACUGAGUGAGGCCAGAGACCAAACCCGCAUCCUCAUGGAUAUUAGUCGGAUUCAUUUCCACUGCUCCAGAACAGGAACUCCUAUGCAUUCUUUGGUAUAUUCUUUUUCAAUAUGUCAGGAUAUUGACUGUGGUUCUCUGUGCUCUCCAGUAGGGCCUGGUGGUUUAUCCCUUCCUUAUGUCACAGGGUGCAUCUGCUAACCCCCAUCGCCUCGGUCUUUUCAUUCUGCAGUGAGAAAUGGAGGCUCAGACAGAUUCUGGGGUGCAAGCAGCUUCUCAGGGGGUGAGAUGAAGAUUCUGGGGCUGUCCGGCUUGCACAGAUUUGCUCUCCAUCACUUUGGAGUUCCCAAUAUUUCAGCAAAUGGUCCAGAGAUGCUUUCUCAUAUUGUCACAAUAACAGGAAGCUAAGGGAUCUGGAUGCCGUGUAAACGGUGGCUGGCCCAGUGCAGGGAGAGGUUCCCCAUAUGCUAGAAGUGUCAGUGCUUUCCUGGCAGAGCUGCACCUACUGCCCAGGCCAAGCCCUCAUUCCUAGAGUCCCGCCAUGCCCUCCUCACCACGCACAGCCCUUCUCACUCCCGUCCACCUUGGGUAGGUAUCAGUCUAACCCUCCCUUUGUCUCCCCUGUCUAACCAGCACAGUUCGUGGGUCUGAGAAUGGGGUGACUGCUGACACUCACUACUGUCAUGCUCAUACCUGAUAUUUCUAAACCUAGUCCAACACUCUCUGCUGAGGAAGACAGACUGAACCUCAGAAUCCUUCCUAACACAGCAUUCCAGGCCUAACCACAACCGGUCUAUCAGCGUUGCCCUGAGAUUAAGCCUAUUUGUCAUGACUGGAGUAGCAAAUAAUAAAAUUUAAUUUCCAUUUCCUUCCUGCCUGGCCUCCCCAGCAUUUCUGGGAUGGAUAGUAGGAAGGAGUAAUAGACAGAUGGACGGACGGACGGAUGGCUGGAUGGAUAAAGGGAAAUUGAGUUCCCAUCUUACAGAGGAACCUUGGUUGACACCACUCCUAAUUCUGCUGACUUCACUCAAUGCCAAUGCUUCUUUGACAAAACUCGCUCUUAGCAUGAGGCAUAUUUUGUGGCAUUUGUUACAGGAACUGGUGAGAUUCCUGGGUCAUUCGGAGGCCAUGCAGGAUCCUUAUUGUCAGCACUUUGCUUCUCACUCUGUCUCAUUUCCUCCCCUCUAACAUAUGCCUGAACUUAAAAACAUCCAAGCACCACAUACUUCCUUCUUCUUUUUAAAGCUCAAGCUGACAAGAGAAAUUUCUUCUCCCCCUCACCUUUUUUCUUCUAUGCAGAGGAAAGAUUCAGCUCCACUGUGGAGUGUCUAAGAAAGGCCUAAGUAAAAACUCCUCUGUGUCUUUGGAGACUUCAGCGAGCUUAACCUAUGCCAUGAGCUGCCUGGAGGCUCUGAAUCAUCUCAUGUUUUUCCAGAGCCCUUUCAGAAGCCCUGGCUUCUGGUUUUGAACCAAACCAAUGGUGGUGAUAUCAGAAUAUUCCUUCCCUUAUCAAAAUACCACUCAGUGUUUGAGAGGAAGGAAAUACUAAGAAAUUCUUAUUCCAGAGAAUUUGAAGAAGAAUAAAGCAGCUCUUAUAAAGCAACGUUUUUGAGAUUUGAGUACAAGCAAAUCAGAAGCAUCUGGAUUGCGUGCUGUUGAAACGUGCUUUUUUUUCCCCAGGAAGGAAAAAAAUACUUGGAAAAUAUACAUUUUAUAAAGUGACAUAUAUUGGAAAAUAGCUGAAGAUUUUUAACAAACCCAAAAUGUAGCAGAAAUGGUCCAACCCCAGUUAUAAAUAUCCUAGAACCAGCUGGGGAAUAAAAUUAGGUGGUGAAAUGAUUGUAUCAUUUGUUUUUCCAAGCUGGAAACGACACAUUUCUUGUAUGUUUCUAAAAAAGAAAAAUGCUGUACUGAGACCUAUGAGAUGCGGUUUUGUUUUGUUGCCUUUGAUUUGAUAUUUGCUAUGAUAAUAAUUCUUUUCACUGAACUUCCCAGACCAUUAAAGGUAAAAAUACAUAGAUGGUAACGGCCGUGGGGUCAGACUUUUGGCUCCAGUCAUGACUCUGCCCCAUGAGCCAGGGGAUCUCGGGCACGUUCACUCACCCCUUUGUGCCCUACCCUAGUUUCCUCAUCUGAAACGUGAGAAUGAUAAUAAUAUAAUCAUAGCAAUAAUAAUAAUAAUUGCUACACUUGGAAUACAUGCCUGGCACACAGAAGUUCUCAGUGAGUGUUAGCUGGUGUUUUUUGUCACCCUGCCUGGAAGGUUCUGCCAACAGAGAGCUCCACGGCUCGGUCACCCACUUCAAAACCUGACAAACCUUUGGUUAGACCACUAAAGAAAAAGAUGAAGUGAAAGCAGGGCUAUUACAACCAACUUUACAGAAAUAAAAAGGAUUAGAAGAGAAUACUGUGAACAGUUGUACACCAACAAAUUAGAAAUCCUAGAUGAAAUAUCAGGUUCUAGAAACGCAACACACAAACAGCUUAAACUGACUCAAGAAGAGGUGGAAAAACCACAACAGACCUAUGGCGAGAGAUUGAAUCAGCAAUCAAGAGCCUCCCCACAUAAAGAGUCCAGGACCCGAUGUCUUCACAGGCAAACUCUAUUAAACAUUGAAACAAAUGAACACCAAUCCUUCUCAAACUUUUCCAAAAAAUAAAAGAGCAGGGAACACUUUCUAACUCAUUCAUUCUAUGAAGCCAGUAUUACCCCAAUACCAAAAGUCCUCAUUCAUUUCUUUCAAGAGUCUGGCCUCCCUGACCCUUCAAUGGAACUAUAGCAUCACUCCCCCCAUACACACACUUAUUCCCUCUCCCCAAUUUAUUUUUCUUUAUAGAACUUAUUACGGUUGAUACAUAUUUAUUUACUGACUUCCUUGUCCCCCUAAGCCCCAUCAGAGCAGGGAAUUUGAGAUUUUUUGUUAUUUUUUCCACUGUUGAAUUCUCCAUGCCUACAAUGGUGCUUACCACAUAAUAGUUGCUCAUUAAAAUAUAUUGCAGGAGUUCCUAUUGUGGGUCAGCGGAAACACACCUGACUAGUAUCCAUGAGGACGCAGGUUUGACCCCCUGGCCCUGCUCUGUGGGUGACCGUGGUCUGUGGUGUGGCUCGCAGAUUCACCUUGGAUCUGGCAUUGCUGUGGCUGUGGUGUAGACCAGCAGCUGUAGCUCCAAUUCGACUCCUAGCCUGGGAACUUCCAAAUGCUGCAGGUGCAGCCCUAAAAACAACCACAAAACAACAACAAAAUGUAUUGAAUGAAUAAAUAAAUGGUCUAACUUUCUUCCACUGAGGAAGAACAGAGUGAAAACUAGAGAACAUCUAGGGAUUGCAGAACACCACAACCCAGCUGACUUGAAGAAAAAGAGCCUUCAAAGGCAAAUAACCAAGAAAGUGUGGUGUCAGGAAAACAAAGGGAAAUGAGAUUUCUGAAAAGCAGGGAAUGGUCAGCAGUGUUGAUUAAUGCUGAGAAAUCAAGUACAAAGAGAACGGAAGUGUCCGCUGGGUUGAGCCGCAUGAAGGCCAUUGGCCACUUGAGUGAGAGUCACGUGGGGGCAUCGCAUGGCCAGAAGCCAGAGGCCAGGCUGCUCUGAAGGGUGGCUGAGCCCAGAGCUGGGACCGUCCAACAAUGUUUAAACAUGUUGUCUUACAAAGAAGAAGGUACAGAGACUGGGAAGUUGCUGGAGAGGGUGUUUAUGUGGGAAAGACCUACUGCCGUCUAAAAGACUACGGAAGGAACCAGGGUGAGAAGAGAGAAGAGGCGAGGUCCCCAGCGGGAAAAGCGGGGACCCGGAGCAUUGGGGUCCUUGGGCUCGCUGAGCAAGGCGUGCACGUCCCCACCUCAGGCAGCAGGUGAACAGAGCCUCCAGGAAGACAAGACCCUCAGAGCCCUUGUGCCUCACCUGCCAGCCUCAACCAGGACCAGGUCUCCCAACACCCAAUCCAGGGUUCUUUUCACACUGGGUGGUUUUUCUUUCUUGCUCACAUUAGAGGGUUCAAGGGCGGGGAGUGGGGACAGGAAUAGAAACUAAAGCUGAUGAGUAGGAAACGCCGACUGAGAGCAUUUCAGACUGUUGGAGAGAGUCUUCUUCCAAUGAAGAUGCUCCCGUUGCUGUGUUGUGUGCCCGUGAACACAGUGGCCCUCCGGCAGCCCCCACUCACCCCUUCCUGGAUGGUGGAGGCGCUGCCCUGAUGGCAUCCCCAGGACUGUGCGGAGGCUGAUGGUGAGUAGACACUCCAGAAACCACCCCCAGCUGACUCAGUCCUCACCAUUUGACCCCCUGGACGAUGCUAUCACAGGUGACUCCUGCUUUUAAAAACAUUGUCCCUCUGAAAAGUGACAUUGAUGCCUUUGUACAAAACAUCUUGAUAUCUGAUAGCAAAGACUCAGUCUAGGAAGAAGGGGGCGUUAAAUGGUAUUCUGGGAGAUGAUGAGACGCUCACCAGUUGGGGAGAGGGAAGAAGAGUGAAUAAAAGGUUGCACCCCUGAAGAGUUUCACCUGCCGUGGAGGACCCAAGGCCAGGACCCAUGUGAAGAGAGGGAUCCCUCCGUUACCUGCCAGCAGCUUCUCUCACCUGAUAGUCUCCAAAGAGUGUGACUCACGGGCACUGUGUUCAGAGGGUCUGUUGCGCCCCCAAGGCACCUGCAAGACAGUUAUCACCCAGCAAGCACUGAAACGUCUGUCAUCGGGCCUUCCUUCUCUGCCACACUUACACACUGGACACGGGGGAUGAGAAUGGAGUCCAGGCCGUGGCCUCUGCAUGAGAGGGCGUGCUUCUUCCCAGGGGUGAAGCACACGCACAAAGAUCUCCUGAGCAUCAGAUCCCAGUUCUAGAAGGGGGCGAAGCUGUGGUCCCAGGUGCCCAGAGACUUGGCCCACUUCUGCGACUGAGGAUGUGUUGGGUUCAAAUUGUUCACUCAGUUGGGUACCCAGUUCCACCUAAGAUGCUGCUCUAGGGAGGCCCCGUCCGUAUUCCUUUUCCUCCUCCAUCAUGCCAACGAAGGAUGGAGAUCAAAGGAACGAAAGGCAGCCAGUCAUCUUUGCACACCCAAAAUGUCUCACAGCUGAUGGAAUUUGGAGAAUGUGCGAAUCACUUCGAAUCUUACCUUCUUAUAGAUACUGGAAUGGAUUCUGGAUUUAAUCUAAAAUGAAUAACACAUUUUCAUCCUUAUUAACCAUGCAGUAAAAGGUACUUAUGAAAUGAACAGAUGACUCAAUAUUUGUUUAGUAAUAACAUCAUACUCAUGAUUUUGCCCAAAUUCCACUAAUUGUUGAGUUCCCCUUGCUGCAUGGCAGGACCUGAGCCUUCCUUGAGGAUUUUUCCCCUUAUUCUUAGGCAGUCCCAAAGGAGUGGGUUCUUGGCCGCAGGAAACAUGCAGGAAACUUACAGCAUUGCCUCCGCUUUUUCUGCAGAAAAAGUCCCCAAGCAGAUCCUAAGGAAACCCCCAGUCACCACUUCUUACAGCACUGAGACUGUUACCAGCCCUGGGCACAUCCACAGAGAAGUGUUUCUCAUUACUUAGUCCUUCUAGUUCAGAGCCCCAGCCCCCACCCACCCAGACACACACACACGUGCACGCACACGCAUGCAUGCAAGUUAUUAGAUGCAUAGAAAAGGAGCCAAAAUGUCACACCUCAAGGAUUUUAAUAAUGGUGAAGCCUGCUGGAGCACGAGUGUUGGGAUGUUUCUUGUCUUUGUCUGCUGCCAUACCCACUUGCUUUGCUUUUUUACUGACACAUGAUCUUGUAAUGCUGUUUUUAUUAUGGAUUAAUAUGCAUUUUAUAUUUACUAUGUAGUGCUUUCAUUUUUAAAUAUGGUUUCAGAUAUUAACAUUUGGCUGAUAACAGGAAGCCCUCCAACUUAGUCUGAUCUUCCUGGAGGUUGCACUGAACCUUUCAGGACCUGCUCUUUGAGUGGUAUCUGCCUUUGUGCUUCAACCUAAUACAGAAGCUGCUGAGAGCUGGCAUCUGUGGGCCCUCCCUGCGUGCGGGCACGGUGCCAAGCACUUGCCAUGCGUUGGGCCACACCACGCUCCCCAGAACUCUGGGUGGGUGCCGCAGCCCCCACUACACUCACAAGGAAACAGUGUCCUAGAGCGGACGUAAUCUACAAGGCAGCACGUGACGGAUGCCAGGUGCGUGGUGCAGAGACCCAGCUCUAGGGGAGCCACGAGGUCUAGAGCCCUUCUGGGGACAUCUGUUAAGACUCUAGUUUGGGGGCUUCCUCAGGCACUGGCUGGCUGGAGUCCCUGCUCUCAGGGAAACAGGUUUCCUCUUACCCCAAGCUCCUGCAUCCUGGAAGAAACAGGGAAGGGCUGGGCCCCUCCCUGGAACCCUGCCCGCUCCCCACCCGUGGGCAGAAAGUCAGCAAAGCUCAGCCAGCCCACGUUCAGAGCAGCUGCAGCCCUGCCAAGCCCGCCCCACCCAGCCUCCUCUAAGAGCUUAAGUCAACAGGCCCAGAGACUCAGACAGGCCAUCUCGGGAUGAAAAAAGGAAAAAAACGCCGCAGCUGCCACCGCAUUGGCAUUCGAGAGAGCUCGAAGCUUCCAAGUGCAGAAAUGAAUUAAAUAAGCGUUUUUUCCCCUUCGGGGUGGAGUACAGCCUCCAGGUCUCCACCCAAGGCACACCCCAGCAGCAGCUAUUUAUAAUAUCUGAGUGCCAGAUGGGACCUGCCAGGGUGAAACAGAAAACAGACGGCUGGACGACCAAGGCCCGCCCCCCGCCCCCCCAGCAGGGUUAUGCCCUGGAGCAAAUGCAAGCCUGGAGGGAGCGCCUGGGGACUGAUGGAGGGGCAGGGUGACCCUCCUGCCCUAGUGGCACUUCCCCGGCCAGCGGAGAGCCUCAGAGAGCACACGGCCCCCGCCUCGCUCACAUUCCACUGCCCGAGGUGCAGGGCUGGGCACUGGGUGGACUCGGGCUCUACCUGUUGGAUGAGGAGCAGCCAGCUGAGUCCAGAAAAGCUCGCCGGGCCAGCAGCCAGCUGUGGAGCUGGCGGCCCCGGCCGCUGGGGUGGGACCUGGGGGCCAAGGGGAGGUUGGAACAAGGUGGCACAGGUGGUUGAGGGCGCAGCUUAGGGAGGUGGGGCAAACCCUGGUGACUUACUUGGUGUGACUUUCUGACUCUUAUGAACCCUUGGGAAUUCUGCCUCCUUAUCUGUGAAACACAGGUAAUAAUUACACCAGCAGAAUGGGAUUUUUUUUUUUUUUUUUUUUUUUU